AUAUUAUGGAGAGUUUGAUCCUGGCUCAGGAUGAACGCUGGCGGUAUGCCUAACACAUGCAAGUCGAACGGUGUCUUCGGACAUAGUGGCGGACGGGUGAGUAACGCGUGAGAAUCUGCCUUCAGGACGGGGACAACAGUUGGAAACGACUGCUAAUACCCGAUGUGACGAAAGUUGAAAGAUUUAUCGCCUGAAGAUGAGCUCGCGUCAGAUUAGCUAGAUGGUGUGGUAAAGGCGCACCAUGGCGACGAUCUGUAGCUGGUCUGAGAGGAUGAGCAGCCACACUGGGACUGAGACACGGCCCAGACUCCUACGGGAGGCAGCAGUGGGGAAUUUUCCGCAAUGGGCGCAAGCCUGACGGAGCAAUACCGCGUGAGGGAGGAAGGCUCUUGGGUCGUAAACCUCUUUUCUUAGGGAAGAACAAAAUGACGGUACCUAAGGAAUCAGCAUCGGCUAACUCCGUGCCAGCAGCCGCGGUAAUACGGAGGAUGCAAGCGUUAUCCGGAAUGAUUGGGCGUAAAGCGUCCGUAGGUGGUUUUGUAAGUCCGUGGUUAAAGCGCGAAGCUUAACUUCGUAAGGGCCAUGGAAACUACAAGACUUGAGUAAAGUAGGGGUAGAGGGAAUUCCCAGUGUAGCGGUGAAAUGCGUAGAGAUUGGGAAGAACACCGGUGGCGAAAGCGCUCUACUGGACUUAAACUGACACUGAGGGACGAAAGCUAGGGGAGCGAAAGGGAUUAGAUACCCCUGUAGUCCUAGCCGUAAACGAUGGAUACUAGGUGUUGCCCGUAUCGACCCGGGCAGUGCCGUAGCUAACGCGUUAAGUAUCCCGCCUGGGGAGUACGCACGCAAGUGUGAAACUCAAAGGAAUUGACGGGGGCCCGCACAAGCGGUGGAGUAUGUGGUUUAAUUCGAUGCAACGCGAAGAACCUUACCAGGGCUUGACAUGUCUGGAAUUUCUGCGAAAGUAGAAAGUGCCUUCGGGAACCAGAACACAGGUGGUGCAUGGCUGUCGUCAGCUCGUGUCGUGAGAUGUUGGGUUAAGUCCCGCAACGAGCGCAACCCUCGUUUUUAGUUGCCAUCAUUAAGUUGGGCACUCUAGAAAGACUGCCGGUGACAAACCGGAGGAAGGUGGGGAUGACGUCAAGUCAGCAUGCCCCUUACGCCCUGGGCUACACACGUACUACAAUGCUAUGGACAAAGAGCAGCCAACUGGCGACAGUGCGCUAAUCUCAUAAACCAUGGCUCAGUUCAGAUUGCAGGCUGCAACUCGCCUGCAUGAAGGCGGAAUCGCUAGUAAUCGCAGGUCAGCAUACUGCGGUGAAUCCGUUCCCGGGCCUUGUACACACCGCCCGUCACACCAUGGGAGUUGGUCACGCCCGAAGUCGUUACUCUAACCGCAAGGAAGAGGACGCCGAAGGUAGGGCUGAUGACUGGGGUGAAGUCGUAACAAGGUAGCCGUACCGGAAGGUGUGGCUGGAUCACCUCCUUU
rnacentral:rRNA from 1 species